UACAGCAGGGAUGGAAAGACAACAAAAACAAAACAUUUAAAAAAACAACACAUUAGACUUAACUAUUUUACAGAACUGACACUGCUCCUUUGUGAGGGAGAUAAUGAGCAUGAACAAACAGCAAAGGAGUUGGUAGUUAAGAAAUGGAAAGUUGCACAGUCUCAACUCAACUCUGAAUUUCUGAACAGACAAGCUCUGCUCUCACUGUGGUUGACAACAUAGAAGGAUCAAUUAACUAUGAAGAAGAUGACUGAGCAGUAGAUGAAGAUGAUGUUGAGGUGAUCCAACCCACUCAGCAGUGGCAAACACUCAAACCAGGCCAGGCAGCGCCAACAGGUUCCCAUGUGAGACUGAAUCUGCAGACAGGUCAGAGGGAGGUCCAACUUGGAGAAGAGCAGCUCAAAUACUGGACCCAGAAACACAAAAAGAGUGAAGGAAUCCAGUCCAUCAGUCCUGAUGAAAUGAAACAUGCUAUGAAGAAGAUAUAGGAGAACUUUAAAUCGGCAGACAAAAACAC